AGAGUUUGAUCCUGGCUCAGGAUGAACGCUGGCGGCGUGCCUAACACAUGCAAGUCGAACGGAACUUCUUCGACAGAAUUCUUCGGAAGGAAGUUGAUUAAGUUUAGUGGCGGACGGGUGAGUAACGCGUGAGUAACCUGCCUUUGAGAGGGGAAUAACUUCCCGAAAGGGAUGCUAAUACCGCAUGAAGCAUAUUUAUCGCAUGGUAGAUAUGCCAAAGAUUUAUCGCUCAAAGAUGGACUCGCGUCCGAUUAGCCAGUUGGCGGGGUAACGGCCCACCAAAGCGACGAUCGGUAGCCGGACUGAGAGGUUGAACGGCCACAUUGGGACUGAGACACGGCCCAGACUCCUACGGGAGGCAGCAGUGGGGGAUAUUGCGCAAUGGGGGAAACCCUGACGCAGCAACGCCGCGUGAAGGAUGAAGGUUUUCGGAUUGUAAACUUCUUUUAUUUAGGACGAACAAUGACGGUACUAAAUGAAUAAGCUCCGGCUAACUACGUGCCAGCAGCCGCGGUAAUACGUAGGGAGCAAGCGUUAUCCGGAUUUACUGGGUGUAAAGGGUGCGUAGGCGGCUUGGUAAGUCAGAUGUGAAAUGUAUGGGCUCAACCCAUGCACUGCAUUUGAAACUAUUGAGCUUGAGUGAAGUAGAGGUAGGCGGAAUUCCCUGUGUAGCGGUGAAAUGCGUAGAGAUAGGGAGGAACACCAGUGGCGAAGGCGGCCUACUGGGCUUUAACUGACGCUGAGGCACGAAAGCGUGGGUAGCAAACAGGAUUAGAUACCCUGGUAGUCCACGCUGUAAACGAU
rnacentral:rRNA from 1 species